rnacentral:lncRNA from 1 species
UUCAAAGCAGAAAUAAAAGGAAGUAGGGAGGAAGAGGGAGGAAGAGGAGAGGGCACUCUCCCAGCCUCACUGGACAUGGAUUGGUGGGGUAAUGGAAGACCUAAACACCAUCAGAAGGCAGCCAGGAAGAGCUUUUCCAAGUCUUGCCUAAGGAAUCUGUUCUAAAAUCUUAUUAAUGACUAAUGGGAUUCCUGUAUCUCCCUCCCACGCAGUGCUCUGAACCUACAAAUAACAGGAUUUGUGUGCCUGCCCUCCUACACACCUCCAACCCUCCAAGAAAGGCUUUGGGAAGAAAACAAACUUCAACGUGUGCACGUUCUCAUUAUGAGCAGGCAGGAGGAGAGCUCCAUUCCCUUCCCAGCUGGCUGAGAUCCAGGGAUGGAGCACAGGGAUGGAGAGGGUGGAAAUGGGCCUGCAGCCAGAAGAACUUGAGAGGUUCCUGACAAGUCUGAAGGGAAGAGUGAUGGCAGGAAAGGAGCUGCACAUCCCUGAGUGCUCGUGAGUGGGAGUGCAGGACAGUGGUGUGGCUGAGCAGGAAGGACAGGGAGCUCUGGAGCCCUGGGGAUGCUGAGAGGGAUUUCCAGCUUGUCCUGGCAAAAGCACUUCCAAAAGCUCUCAAAGUCAUUUCCACCCAGAACCUCGAGAUUUCCAAGGAUCCUGUCCAAAACUCUGCAGGAUCAAGCUUUGUACCUGCCCUUCCUGGUGCAAGAUGAAGAACUCUGUCUCCACCGAAAACAAAAGAAGGUUCUGUCGCAAGACAAAUUGAAUCAAAUUCUCCAGGAGUUUUCCAGUUCAAUUAAGCUGUGGGAUAGUCCCUAUCUUAGGUGCAAAUCUCUCUGUGCAUUACAGGACCACAGACAGGGAUGUGGCAAAAGGUAAAACUGGGAGUUAUGUCUUUAAGGGCUGGUUGGAGACACUUGUAAUCUCGUUUUAUUGGUGGUACCCUCCCCAGCAUAAUGAACUUUGAUGAAAUUGCUGUGGCGCCUGUGAAGCUGAGCAGGCUUUGCCAGGGAAAGACCUCCCAUGAACAAAAUCGCCUGGGCAACAACUCCACACUGCAGCCAAGCCAGAAACUCUGGCAAAGUCACCUCUUCCCAUCCCUUAACUCCUGCAAGUCUCCUUUUCAAGCCUUGCAUAUUAAAAAAAAAAAAAAUUAAAAAAUAUAUUUACCACUUAUGUGCAUGGCUGAGGGAUAGAGCUUAAAAACAAAAUUAAUAAAUUUUGUGAGAGUCCACUGUGUGGUUGAAAA